rnacentral:rRNA from 1 species
GAUGAACGCUGGCGGCGUGCCUAACACAUGCAAGUCGAGCGAGAAACUUCGGAUUGAUCCUUCGGGUGAAAGAAAAAGUGGACAGCGGCGGACGGGUGAGUAACGCGUGGGAAACCUGCCCUAUACAAGGGGAUAGCCUCGGGAAACCGGGAUUAAUACCCUAUAAAACUCUAGCACCGCAUGGUGCAUGAGUCAAAACUCCGGUGGUAUAGGAUGGUCCCGCGUCCCAUUAGCUAGUUGGUGAGGUAAAAGCUCACCAAGGCGACGAUGGGUAGCCGGCCUGAGAGGGUGAACGGCCACACUGGAGCUGAGACACGGUCCAGACUCCUACGGGAGGCAGCAGUGGGGAAUAUUGCACAAUGGGGGAAACCCUGAUGCAGCGACGCCGCGUGAGUGAUGAAGGCUUUCGGGUCAUAAAGCUCUGUCCUAAGGGAAGAUAAUGACGGUACCUUAGGAGGAAGCCCCGGCUAACUACGUGCCAGCCGCCGCGGUAAUAC